ACCAGCACGCCCAUGACUAACUCGUGCAUACUGUAAUAACUAACUGCACAUGCAUUGGCAUCCAGUCCCAAAUCCAGAAACAGGAAAAUAUUUUUCUUCACAAGAAUAUUCUUGCGUUACAGUACAGGGCAGCAUCCAGAAUAAUUACAGGCCUUUUGAUUUUCUUUCUACCUGAACUUUGUUACAGGCUUUUCAAGCAUCGGAUCCGAAACAAGUGGCUGGGAUCAAACCACGCCAAAACAGUCGUCUCAUGUCGAUGCAGCGAGUUCAGUGACUCGAGAGUCCACCGUUCGUAUCAAUGGUACCACGCCUUGGGCGUGCUCACAGAAGAAUCCGUUGACGACCUGCCAUAGCACUCGGGAUCUCUUCCUUCAGGUCGGUCAUUAUCAUCGAAGGGAAAGAGAAUUAUGCAACUACAGUAGAUAAUAAUACCAUAAUCUCCAUAGGUUGGCAGGCAAUCCAUCCCAAGAUUGACCAUGAAUUAGUUCCAACAUGGUUCUGUUGACAGAUCGCUCAGUUCUCACAGGCACAAAGCCACCCAAAGCAUGGAGGUUGAACUCCUGCUCCCUGUAUCUUGGCUCCUGAUAAGUCAAAAGGAUGAAAAGAUAGGAUAACAAUGUCGUUACCAGAUAGCCACGGUAGUUCGGUCGUCUUGUUAUGUAGAUGACUUUGAGAGCAGCUGUACGAUUCAGUUAUAUGCACUUCUGCAGAAGAAAUUCAGACAAAACAUAUGUAUUUAGUUCCAACAGAUGUAGCUUCCAAUUCCUGUAAAAGUAUUAUAUGGAAAAGAAGGCUUCCAGAAAUGUGAUAAUCUGCCAGCGACGAGCCUAAUGUAUAAAGAACAUUUCUUGAUAAAAAAAAGUAUGAUGUACAAGCACAGGCAUGCUUAAAUUGUGCUCCCUCCGUUUUCAUUUACUCCGCAUAUUAGGUUUGUCUAAAGUCAAACUUUAUAUACUUUCAACAAGUUUGUAGAAAAAUAUAUUAACAUAUACACCACCAAAUCAAUAGCAUUGGAUUCAUCAGUGCAUAUAUUUUCACAUCACAGAAAUUUGUUACUGUAAAUAUUCAUAUUGUUUUCUACAAACUUGGUCAAACUUUAUAAAGUUUGACUUCAGUCAAAGCUAAUAUGCGGAGUAAAUAAAAACGGAGGGAGUAUGUGCUAACAUGGUUAGCUCUCCUCAGAUGCAGGAUGAUGCUCACCUUUAAAUUCUCCAAUAUUUUAAGUAGUCGUACAGUUUGUUUCUCCUAGCGAAGUGUACCGGUACAUGCAUAAAAUACGGAAGAAUGGAGAAGGCAUGACUUGCAUUUCCCAACUUCCGGCUGGAAUGAGUAACAGCAAAGAUGCCAAGUUCAAAGAGUGUGAGUUUCCCAUCUUUCAGGUCUUCUGUUCUUAAUGAUGAAGAUAUGAUAGCCCUUAGCCUUGACGGUUUGACCUCCCUUGCACUGUUCAGAAGACACAAUUAGGAAAUGAUUGCUAUUUGAGGUGUUCUGCUAUAUGCUCAUAAGUUCUACAUGAAGAUCAAAAACUGUUGUUUCCAUGCCUUCAGUCCUUCACAUGUCAGUUACAUUUUGCUUGCUAGUUCUCACCAUAGUCUUCUCUAGUCCCUACAUAUUAUUGGCAUAGCACCCCAACUCGUUCUCGACGAUGCUUUUGAGCUACUAGUUUCUGAGCAACAUUUCCUUCAUUUGAUCUGGCAAAAAGAAUUAAUCUUGGUAAUGCUCUCUUCACAUCUCUUCUCUUCAAGCUUUUAGUGCUACUGUCAAGACACACAUCACCCCUACUUUUAAAGAAUUAAAAAAAUGCCCUUGAAAAAUGGGAUCAUAAUGUUCUGCCUUUUGUUCAGAGAACUUACUUUUAGCUUUAUAAGUUGAAACACUUUCAGCAACUUCUGAUUUCUUGCACUUUCUGAGAAAAUUACAGCAACACGAGGGAUAUUUAGGUCACUACCCAUGAUUUUGUAUUAGUCUCUGCUUAUUAACUGGUAAGGUUAAGGUAGUUGAAGCACAAGCUACCAAGAUUAAUAUUUAUAGUAUGAUACCAAUAAAGACACACUGGAGUUUGUUGGGUCUUGAGGAAGCAAAGAGGCUUCAUGUCUCGUCCAGUGUGCUAAUACAGCUUCUCCUCAUCGAAAGAAGAGACAACCAGAUGCCUAGCUUAAACUCCACGUCUUUGCUUUCUUCCGAACAACCAACACGACCAAGGCGAGCUGCAGCCUUCUCUAUCUAACAAACAGAUUGUCUGUUUCAUUCAAGUUGAGUAGCCUUUUUCCUAAAUAUGCGUGCUUGAACCAAUGAUUUUCUCUAUUUUAGAUCCAAGCUAUUUCAGUUGAUCACUUCUAACAUGCUACUGUGUCAUUUGUUCAUCAGCUUUGUCUCUUCCAUUUGGUUCCUUUUCCCCCAAAAUUGUACUACUUUAAGAUACAUCUUUGAGGCUCCUUGGUUACUAACUUCUGUUGUUUUAGAUAUUGAGUGAAGGCACCAGAGGCCAGAAUGAUUGCUGAGGGAGGUUAUUUUGAUGGUUCCAGAGAUGCUAUCCUCAUGGCAGGAUCACUGAUUCACGAUUCCCUGGACUCUAUUUGUGACAAUACAGAGAUUGAGCAAGGAAACUUCCACGGUCCCUCCUUUUUCAUAGAAGAUAUAUGCAAUCCAACCAAUCUUACCUCUGAGUCUGCACGAACAAUCAACCAUAUACAACAUCGGGCUGAAUUUGACAUGGAUCAGGAUCUUCACGGCCACAUGAUACAAGAGACCCAGGUAGAAACUUCAAAUUGGGUUCCUGCAAUGUUCGGUACCCAAAAUCAUAUCAUCAGCCAACAGUCGAUUGAACAACAAAUGGAUGACUAUGAUGCUGCAUCAUAUCCAGAUGGUGCUCACACAGCUGCACCUGAUCUCCUAAAUCUUCUACAGAUCCCAAGGUACAGUAUGACUACUGCAUUCCCUUCGACAGAACAUAUCUUUGGUGAUCCAGGGCAGAAUGCUGGCAACCAAUUGGACAUCAACAAUGAUGUUCUGGGAAGAGCAAUUCAUGACAGUGGGAUGAUGCUCGGUGAUUCAACUCUACCAUUACAAUAUAAUGACAAUCAAUCUCACCUAUUCAAGGAUCUCUAUCAUUCACUUCCGCAAAGUUUUGGGCUGUUCUCCAGUGAUGAUGAGAGAGAUCGGGCGAUGGGGGUAGUAGGAGCUGCAGGAAAUAUUCUCCAAGAGAUAGACGGGAGGCAGUUUGGUAGCCCAAAACUGGGAAGAAGUAAGAAAGGUGGCUUUGGCAAGGCAAAAGCUAACUUUGCAACUGAAAAAGAGAGGAGGGAGCAGAUAAAUGUGAAAUAUGGGGCUUUAAGAUCACUGCUGCCAAGCCCUACGAAGGUUUGUUCAACACAUCUUCUCUAGAUUUUAAAUGGUUUUUGGUUCUCACAGUUACAGAUAAAUCACUUAAACGGCAACUAAUGACAUGAAUUUUCUACAAAAUUCGCUAUCUUCUAUUAGUUUCCAGAUCUGGCGCCAUUUCAGUAUGAAGCCAACAAUAUUUUCUAAGAGUAUAAAAAGAACCACUACCACUGGCAUUUAGGAGGUCAAAACAAACCUGAACUUUUUCAUAAUUUUUUUUAUGUUUUCAUCACCAGCAAGCUUUUACAAAGUUCCCUAGUUACAACAGUCCACCUAAUAUAAGUUCCACAUAGAUGACAUACGUUAUGUUGGGAAGUGUAUGCUGGACCUUUCUGUAGGUGAAUACUGGAGUUCUCGGUAGAUUUAGUUGACAAAUUGAUGUGCAUAGAUCAUUAGUAUCCAAAGACAACAAAUUCGAAUGCAACUCCUUAGUUUAUGCAGCAUAAAUACAUUACCAUUGUUAGAUUUUUAGGAUCUGUCACUUUUUGCUUAGCCGAAGAUAAAACAGUUGUGAAACACUGAAGAUAAAACAGUUGUGAAACAGAAAAAUAAUCUUACAUAGAUCAAAUGGGAUUUGAUUUGACAUAUCCAGCAUUACCUUAUCACCAACCGUACUGAUCCUUAAGAGGUAUCUUCAGGCUAUCUAAGGCAAAUAAGAAAUAUGGAAUCAUGACAAAACCUUUUUAAAUUGUGUACACUUCUUGUAUUUCUCGUGAAUGUGAUGUUAUUGGUUAUUACAAUAUUUUUCUGUAGAAUGACCGAGCCUCUAUAGUUGGAGAUGCCAUCGAAUACAUCAAUGAGCUGAACAGAACAUUGAAGGAACUGACAAGUUUGGUGGAAGGCGAUACCAAACAUAGGAUGAAGAGGCUUAAGUUGGAUGAUGCAGCACGUGACAACGGAGAAAGUUCGUCGCUGCAGCAAGUGAAGGACGAUCAGGACAGUCAGCUGAAUGGAGCUAUAAGGAGCUCAUGGAUACAAAGGAGGUCCAAGGAAUGUCAUGUUGAUGUCCGCAUAGUUGGUAAUGAGAUCAACAUCAAGUUCACUGAAAAGAAGAAGACUAAUUCUUUGCUUUGUGCUGCAAAGGUUAUAGAUGAGUUUCGUCUUGAACUCAUCCAUGUUGUUGGGGGGGUUAUUGGAGAUCAACGUAUAUUCAUGUUCAACACAAAGGUAACAAUCAAAUUUGUUUACUCAAAGCAACACAUUGGCCCUCUUCCCCGUUUCUACUGCAUUAGCACACAUGGUUGUACCAUUCUGCUUGACAUCUGUUGCCUACUGUGCAGAUAUCUGAGGGCUCCUCGGUCUACGCCAGUGCGUUGGCUUCGAAGCUCCUCCGAGCUAUGGAGAUGGAGCACCUCGCUGUCGAUAUCUUCAGUUAGCUUAGCCACCAUGACGGAGAUUCACUGGUGCACCAGAAUGGUCCAUUAUGUUAGCCCUACCAUUACCAAAGUGUGAGCUUACUAGAAGUAACUAGCCGACCUAGAAAAUACUUUAUCUUCAGUGAGUGCUGCUGAAUUUUAUUUUAUUUUUCACGAACUGUCUUCUUGCACACUCGCUGUAAUGAUCUGAUGCUUCUGAUUACGAAUUCACAAAUUAACUUGCACAUGUCUUGGGUUGCAACACUUACUUCAAAGUUGAGCCCAAAAGGGGAGAUGGGACUGGUGCUUUAGAUUCUUACCACCUUGAGCCCAGCAUCUGAAUGCGGGCCACUCUUCAUCGCUCGCCCGACCCAUGGAACACCCGCUGCACGCGUAUCGGCGAGAUCUGGAUGAAACGCAUCGAGCAAUCUGAUUGUGAGUAAUGCAAUUAUGAAGGAGGGGGUGGUAUUAGUUUUACCAGUCGGAUUGAUUCGGGCUGCCUGCGUACGUACCAGCAAGAUCGGCG
rnacentral:lncRNA from 1 species